AUCACUGGUGUUCGGGUUGUCAUGCCAAUGGCACUGCCCGGUAGCUAAAUGCGGAAGAGAUAAGUGCUGAAAGCAUCUAAGCACGAAACUUGCCCCGAGAUGAGUUCUCCCUGACCCUUUAAGGGUCCUGAAGGAACGUUGAAGACGACGACGUUGAUAGGCCGGGUGUGUAAGCGCAGCGAUGCGUUGAGCUAACCGGUACUAAUGAACCGUGAGGCUUAACCUUACAACGCCGAAGGUGUUU
rnacentral:rRNA from 1 species